rnacentral:rRNA from 1 species
UACGAAGGUGGCAAGCGUUGUUCGGAUUCACUGGGCGUACAGGGUGUGUAGGCGGUUUGGUAAGCCUUCUGUUAAAGCUUCGGGCCCAACCCGGAAAGCGCAGAGGGUACUGCCAGGCUAGAGGACGGGAGAGGAGCGCGGAAUUCCCGGUGUAGCGAUGAAAUGCGUAGAGAUCGGGAGGAAGGCCGGUGGCGAAGGCAGGUCUCUGGGCCGCAACUGACGCUGAGGAGCGAAAGCAUGGGGAGCGAACAGG